UACUACCCAAUCGCCAGAACCGAAGGUAUUGUUACUAGUAAUUAGAGUGUUGAUUAAUGAUGGUUAUUAAAUGUUAUGGGCGCUUCUUUUCUUCCAUGGGCGACGAUUGGAUCGACUGGCGUGCGAAACUUCGGGCUGUGUGAGUUGGGGGAGGAGGCUGUCGAUGGCGGCGACCCUCGUUGCAGUCGAUCGGCGAUAGGGCUGAGGCUAUGAGGUUGCUGAGCCGUGAACAGAGGGAUCGGCGGCGGCGGUGGCUUAUUAGCUGCUGCUGCUUGCCGGUUGGACGGGAGAGAAGGGUUAAGCGAGAGGGAGACAGAGGAGGCGGCGAUGGUGGUGAUGAUGACCAUAGAAGGUUGUAGGAGGAGCGGCGGCGGUGGCGACCACUCUUCGCCGUCG
rnacentral:lncRNA from 1 species